rnacentral:rRNA from 1 species
UGGGGAAUAUUGCACAAUGGGCGCAAGCCUGAUGCAGCAACGCCGCGUGAGGGAUGACGGCCUUCGGGUUGUAAACCUCUUUUAGUAGGGAAGAAGCGAAAGUGACGGUACCUGCAGAAAAAGCACCGGCUAACUACGUGCCAGCAGCCGCGGUAAUACGUAGGGUGCGAGCGUUGUCCGGAAUUAUUGGGCGUAAAGAGCUCGUAGGCGGUCUGUCGCGUCUGCUGUGAAAACCCGAGGCUCAACCUCGGGCCUGCAGUGGGUACGGGCAGACUAGAGUGCGGUAGGGGAGAAUGGAAUUCCUGGUGUAGCGGUGGAAUGCGCAGAUAUCAGGAGGAACACCGAUGGCGAAGGCAGUUCUCUGGGCCGUAACUGACGCUGAGGAGCGAAAGCGUGGGGAGCGAACAGGAUUAGAUACCCUGGUAGUCCACGCCGUAAACGUUGGGCGCUAGAUGUGGGGACCAUUCCACGGUUUCCGUGUCGCAGCUAACGCAUUAAGCGCCCCGCCUGGGGAGUACGGCCGCAAGGCUAAAA